rnacentral:piRNA from 1 species
GUUGGAGCCCUCAGACUGAAAGG